UACGUAGGGUGCAAGCGUUGUCCGGAAUUAUUGGGCGUAAAGAGCUCGUAGGCGGUCUGUCACGUCGGCUGUGAAAACCCGAGGCUCAACCUCGGGCCUGCAGUCGAUACGGGCAAACUAGAGUACUGCAGGGGAGACUGGAAUUCCUGGUGUAGCGGUGAAAUGCGCAGAUAUCAGGAGGAACACCAGUGGCGAAGGCGAUCACCUGGGGUUGUUCUGACGCUGAGGAGCGAAAGCUAGGGGAGCAAACGGG
rnacentral:rRNA from 1 species